rnacentral:siRNA from 1 species
UAACCAACAGAUUCAGUAUGCUGC